AGCCUUCUUCCAAUUGAAGGUUUAAAUAAUUAGUUGUUUUUUUUGUUUUAGCCCAAAGGUAUAUUACUGUGCUAUUAGGUGAUUUAAUUUUGUUUCCCUUUUUUUUUCUACAUAAAGAUGAAAAAUGUUUCUUUUUGUCUUAGUGAUGUCAAAGACACCAGUGACUUCAAGCUUGAAAUACACUGUUGUUCCAUCUCCACAUCAGAUGAAAUCCAUUGCAGAAUGGUUGAAAUCAGACCCAUAUUUCCAAGAAUAAGUUCAGGUUUCUUGAUGGUUUUCUCCCUGCUCCGACAAAUUUGAUCUGAGCUAUAAUGACUCUCAAUAAUCUAACUAUCACAUUUUUGGAUCUUGAACUCUGCAAGUCCUCCAUCGCCAACACCAUUCCAAGGUUUGGUGAAUUCGAAGAGAAAUGUUUGCAGCUAGAAGUUUAUCCAUUCAAGCAAGGUCUAUUAGUUCUGUAACAACCCACUUGUUUUUUUUUAUACUUCAAAGGCAUAAAUACCCAACUUUGCUUAUCAAUUUUUUAUUGCCUAGGUACUUGGAUCAAUAUAAUUUAAUUGCUAUUAGUAUUACCAUUAUCAUAUUAAAUAAUAAUAUCUCUCAUGAUAUUUUUUUUCAAGAGUUGUUGAUACUAAUACUAUGCUAGUGUGUGUGUGUGUCUGUGUGAUGGAAUCGGAGAGUAUUGAAUAUGAGACAAGGGAAAAUGAAGUAUUAAUGCAUCAUAGACAAAAUAUAUUUAUUAAUAUAGUUGAAAGCUAGCUAGUGCCUGUUAUCCUUUCUUUCUUUGUUCUGCAUUUGAGCUAAGCAAUUGUCAAAUGAGUAAAAUGAAAGAAAUGAAAUUAAUACACCUCAAGUCCCCUAAUUAUAAUUAACAUAAUGUUCAUAAAUAUCUUAGUUUAUGUAGUAUUUGAUGAUUGAAUUGGAGAAUUUAAUUAAUCAAAUAUAAAUUUUAUAAGUGAAAUAUUAUUGUAUUUUUGCUAGCACUAAAAAUACAAAUAAUAUAUAGGACAAAACUUAUAUGCUGUACCAUAUGUCCUGUUUUUACUCUUACCCAAUUAUAAUACAACACCUGUAACAUAUAUUCCACGUCACACGUUUUCUCUUAACCCUUAUUUUUCCGUUAAUUGGCUUGGUCUUUCUCUCUCGAUUGCAGGUACUCAUAAAAAACAAAGGCUAAUCAUCACAUUAAUAAAGAAAAACUCAAUCUCAAAUACUAUUAACAUAAAAUUAAUCAAGGAAAUAAAUAAUCAAGAUAACAGGCUAACUUGAUUAUAAUACUCCUCCUUCUAAUCAAUUAUCUUUUCUUGACUUCAAAAUUGAAUUUAAACAAAAUCCCCAAAUGGCAUGGAAUUCCCCAGAUCUCAGUCAAAUUGAGCUAGCUAGUGCCUGUUAUCCUUUCUUUCUUUGUUCUGCAUUUGAGCUAAGCAAUUGUCAAAUGAGUAAAAUGCAAGAAAUGAAAUUAAUACACAUCAAGUCCCCUAAUUAUAAUUAACAUAAUGUUCAUAAAUAUCUAGCUCUAUUUCAAGUUUUAGAUGGAUCGAUGCUUGGUAGAAGAACUGGGUCUGGAACAAGAGCUGCAUUGAAAUUUGGGCCAAACUAUUGGCACCCCCACUUUUUGCAUCUACUCAUUUAAAUAUUUGAGUGGAAGUGGAUAUAGUUAGAUAUUUCAUCCAUUUUCACUGUGUAACCAGUGCAGAGAUUUU
rnacentral:lncRNA from 1 species